UUAUGGGCUACACGCGCAAUACAAAGGACGGGACAAUGGGCUGCAANUCCGAGAGGAACGACGCUAUCCCCGAAACCCCGUUCGUAGUUCGGGAUUGAGGGGCUGUAACUCGCCCUCAUGAAGCUGGAUUAGGUAGUAAUCGCGUCUCAAUAGGGCGCGGUGAAUAUGCCCCUGCUCCUUGCACACACCGCCCGUCAAACCAUCUUAGUUAGGGGUGGGUGAGGCUACCUUAACCAUGGGGUAUUCGAGCCUGCCUUUGACAAGGAGGGUUAAGUCGUAACAAGGUA
rnacentral:rRNA from 1 species